CCAGCUUCAGCUUCAGCUGCUAGGGCUGAUUUGAGCCUUGCCGUGGAUCCCUCCUUGGCUUUCCUCACAGCACAGAUACUCUGCUGUUCUUUUCAGUCACCUUGGACUUUGCACAAAGUGGACAGUUCCACAGCCCAAGGCAUAGGGACUGCAUUAAGCUUGCAGUAGAGGUGGCCACACUCCAAUUAGAUAUCAAGGAAUGCAGCCUGGAGUCCUUGUUGCCUAAUAGUCACCAAAAACUUAAUGAUGAAUAUUGCUUGGAAGAUAUUUAUAGCUCAAGAGGACGUUGACCAGCCUCUAUCAAUCUCCCUGAAUCUUCCCUGAAGGGAGCCCCGGACAUCUGAGAAGCUACAGAGCACUUCUCUCUGGGUGUUGAGAGAUGUAAGGGCAAGAACUGGAGAAGCAGGGCCUGUGCUUGCCAGGUCCAGACCUUUGUUCUCUUAUUUGGUCCCAGUGCAUCUCUGCAGGGUAGCAGAACUGGGACUUUUUUACCCUCCCCGCUUCUACAGCGGAGGAAACAGGCCUGGAAGCUAUCCGAGGCGAGACCGAAGCUGAGUCCAAACCAGCUACCCUCCUCCAGGUCAGUGUUCUCUACACCCGGCCGCUAUCCCCUAAGCAUCAGAGGCCAAGAAAGGAGCGACAGACGUCAGUGUCCCUGCCGCAUGGGGCUGUCUGCAUCAUGACUUGCACCAUGGAGCAGCAUCUCUGAAGCUGUGCAGUUUGGAGAAGCAGCAGAAAGACCUCACCCCCAGGCCCCUCCCGUCCAGUCCCACCCUGCAGUCUGCCCAGCCCACCUGCUACCCUCCCGGCCCCUCUGCCAGAGCAGGAUGUGACCUCCAUGAGGCAAAGCACAUCUAUUUGAUCUUGAACAAAAGGCUGCGAUGGUGUCUGACAUGACAGCUCCCCGGCGGGUGAUGUCAUGCUGUUUUGUUUGUCUCCAUGGACUGCGGGGAUCUGAUUUCAGUUGUGAAGAAAAAUGGUCUGGGGAAAAAAAAUUACUUCAUUCGGAAAAUUCCGAGAAGCCAUAAAUACAGUGUGCAGCUGAUGAAAGCACAUUCGCAGGCAGACAAUGGCUUUGGGAUGGAAGAAGAGUCCUCUCAAGAGGCCAAGCCCUUGAACCCCACCCACUGCCACCAGCCGGCCCCACUUCAGGGCUUCCGGCAGGACUGAGAGCAAUCCCUCUGCCCACGGAGGAGAUUGCCCGUUCCCUGGUGGCUAGCUGGCUGGGGACAGAUUUUCCCUGGUUCUCAUCUGAAACCCCCUCCUGCCCAGUUCAUCUGGCACAGCUGCGUCCACCUCCCUGUCCUAAAAGACUGACCUGCACUUCCGAGUUCUGAAAGCAAAUUAAAAAUAACCUUUUUGUUU